rnacentral:tRNA from 1 species
GCGAUCGUAGCUUAAUGGUAAAGCAUCGGGUUGUGGUCCCGACGACGUGGGUUCGAUUCCCAUCGAUCGCC